rnacentral:lncRNA from 10 species
UCCGCCCGCCUCAGCCUCCCAGAGUGCUGGGAUUACAGGCGUGAGCCACCAUGCCUGGCCGUAAGAAUUAUGUUACAUUUCAUAAAUAGCUCUUCCUGGGAGCAUAGUGAUAACUCUGCUUCUGCUUUUUAAGAAGUCAGCCAAGAAAGGUUGGGAGAAAUCUAAUUAUAUUGUCAAAAAGCAAUUUUUCAUACUAGUCCAAGGGACUAACAACAUUUAGGAAGAACCUGGCUUGCCAUGGAAUGUAGAGGAUGUGGGUGAGUGUUAAUGACAGUGGGUGUCAUGGUCGGGAGUGGUGACUCACUCCUGUAAUCCCAGCACUUUGGGCGGUUGAGGAAGGCAGAUCAUUUGAGGUCAAGAGUUCAAGACCAGCCUGGCCAACAUAGUGAAACCCUGUCUCUACUAAAAAUACAAACAUUAGCCUGGCGUGCUUGCGUGUGCCUGUAAUCAUAGCUACUUGGGAGGCUGAGGCACGAGAAUCGCUUGAACCCAAGAAGCAGAGGUUGCAGUGAGCUGAGAUCCCGCCACUGCACUCCAGCCUGGUGACAGAGUGAGACUCUGUCUCAAAAAAAAAAAAAAAAAAAAAAACAGUGGAUGUCAAAGGUACAUCUUCAUAUCCCAUAGGACACUUGUUUAAAUUUUGCCAGGUCAAAGGGAGAUUAUUCUUAUUCUGACUUUAACCCACAUUAAUUCUAAUAUAUCGAGUUGUGUCAUUUUCCUUUAAGGAAGUACAAAGUUUCAAUGAAACAGCUGAAUUGAUAGGAGUUCCAAGAAUUGCAACAAAUAGAAUAAAAAGAACAAUGAAAUCAUUCACAAAAGAGGCCAUUCACAGACAGCUUGGUACAACUGUAGUAAAAAAAAAAUAUAGAACAAACUGAAGUGAAAGGAAAGUAUAGCUCAGGAUUCUGGAUUUUAAAAGUUUUAUCCAGCAGUCGUUAGCUCUCCUGGCUAGUGUGAUGCCUGUGAUGGUGUUUCACUGUUGGAACAGCAAGCACUGUCUUAAUUGAGGCUUGGCUCCGGGUGCUGUUUUGGUGUGGGGCCAAGUAUACCUUUGGGCAGUGUUUUGCACUUCUGAGAGUGAAAUGACUCCUGUGGAGUCGGUCCUAAUCUGAGUGCAAACAAUCUUUUCUGUUGAAAAAAAUAAUUUUGAGGCCAGGUGUGGUGGCUCACGCCUAUAAUCCCAGCACUUGGGGAGGCUGAGGCGGGCGGAUCACCUGAGGUCAGGAGUUCGAGACUAGCAUGGCCAACAUGGUGAAACCCUGUCUCUACUAAAAAUACAAAAAAUUAGCUGGGCCUGAUGGCACACACCUGUAGUCCCAGAUACUCAGGAGGCUGAGGUGGGAGGAUCGCUUGAACCCAGGAGGUGGAGGUUGCAGUAAGCCAAAAUUGUGCCACUGUACUCCAGCCUGGGUGACACAGCAAGACCCUGUUUCAAAAAAAAAAAGUUUUGGGUUCAGUUUAAUUUCUUUUCUUUCAAAAAGAUUUUUUUUUUUUUUUUUUUUUUUAGAGAUAGGGUCUUGCUAUGUGGCCCAGGUUUGUCUUGACUCCUGAGCUCAAGAAGUCCUCAUGCCUCAGCCUCUCAAAGUUCUGGGAUUACAGGUGUGAACCACGAUGCCCAGCCAAGUUUAAUUUUUUUGUUUGUUUGUUUUUGCUUUUGUUUUAUUUUGUUUUUUGAGACAGGGUCUCACUCUGUUGGCCAGGCUGGAGUGCAGUGGCACGAUCACAGCUCACUACAGCCUUGACCUCCCAGGCCCAAGCAAUUCACCCACCUCAGCCUCCCAAGUUAGCUGGGACUACAGGCGUGCACCACCACGCCUGGCUAAUGUUUUGAUUUUUCUGUAGAAAUGGAGUUUCACUAUGUUGUUCAGGCUGGUCUGGAACUCCCCGCCUCAAGCCAUCCUCCCACCUCAGCCUCCCGAAAUCCUGGGAUUAUAGGCGUGAGCCACUGUGCCCAGCCAAGUUUCAUUUUUGACUUAUAAACGUUAUCAUUAUAGGUCUUUCUGCUUAAGAGAUACAACCAAAGUGUACCUAUUCAUUCCACAAAUAUUGCGUGCCAGGCCCCACACUGAGCUGAGUACUGUUCUAGGCACAUGAUAUGUAACAGCAAGUAAAACAUCCCUAUCCUCACCAAGCUGAUAUUCAAGUGAAGGUGACAGACGAGAAACAUAAUGCAUAAGGAAAUCAGGUAAUGUGUUAGAAGGUGGUGAGUGCUAUAGUGAAAUAAGAUCAAGGUUAGGUGGAUCUGGCAUGUGUGGAGAAGCAAGUUGCAAUCUUAAGGGUAGGCUUUGUUGAGAAGUAAUUUUAAGCAAACGGUGCAAAUGUUUAGGGGAAGAACAAUCCAGGAAGUGGUAACAGCUGCACAGAGUCCCAAGAAAGCAGUAUAGUGGCUUAUUCCAGAAACAGCAAGGAGGCCAAAGUGACUGCAUAGCGGGCCAGGUGGGAAGGUCAAGGAGAUUGGGUAGGGCCUAGGGCUGUUGAAGGAUUUCAGUUUCCACUGUUUCCUUGCUUCCUCUGAACAAAGCACUUUUGAGCAGAGAGGAACUCAAUUUGGCUUUCAUUUUAAAGGGUCUCUGUGGGCCAGGAGCAGUGGCUCACGCCUGUAAUCCCAGCACUUUGGGAGACCGAGGUGGGUGGAUCACCUGAGGUCAGGAGAUCGAGACCAGCCAGGCCAACAUGGUGAAACCCCAUCUGUACUGAAAAUACAAAAAUUAGCUGGGUGUGGUGGCAGCGCCUGUAAUCCCAGCUACUUGGGCAGCUAAGGCAAGAGAAAGGAGAAUUGCUUGAACCCAGGAGGCGGAGGUUGCAGUGAGCUGAGAUCAUGCCAUUGCACUCCAGCCUGGGUGACAGAGCAAGACAGUGUCUUAAAAAAAAAAAAAAAGAGCGGGGGAGGCAGGUGCUGUGGCUCACGCCUGUAAUCCCAACACUUUGGGAGGCCAAGGCGGGCAGAUCACAAAGUCAGGAGAUCAAGACCAUCCUGGCUAACACGGUGAAACCCCGUCUCUACUGAAAAUACAAAAAAAAAAAAAACAACAACAACAAAAUUAGCUGGGCAUGGUGGCAGGCACCUGUAGUCCCAGCUACUCGGGAGGCUGAGGCAGGAGAAUGGCGUUGAACCCGGGAGGUGGAGGUUGCAGUA